rnacentral:rRNA from 1 species
UUCCUACGGGUGGCAGCAGUGGGGAAUAUUGCACAAUGGGCGAAAGCCUGAUGCAGCAAUGCCGCGUGAGCGAUGAAGGCCUUUGGGUCGUAAAGCUCUGUCCUUGGGGAAGAAAAAAAUGACGGUACCCUUGGAGGAAGCCCCGGCUAACUACGUGCCAGCAGCCGCGGUAAUACGUAGGGGGCAAGCGUUAUCCGGAAUUAUUGGGCGUAAAGAGUGCGUAGGUGGUUUUGUAAGCGCGGGGUGAAAGGCUAUGGCUCAACCAUAGUAAGCCUUGCGAACUGCAAGACUUGAGUGCAGGAGAGGAAAGCGGAAUUCCUAGUGUAGCGGUGAAAUGCGUAGAUAUUAGGAGGAACACCAGUGGCGAAGGCGGCUUUCUGGACUGUAACUGACACUGAGGCACGAAAGCGUGGGGAGCAAACAGGAUUAGAUACCCUUGUAGUC